rnacentral:rRNA from 1 species
AUGGGGAAUAUUGGACAAUGGGUCGCAAGCCUGAUCCAGCCAUACCGCGUGGGUGAAGAAGGCCUUCGGGUUGUAAAGCCCUUUUGUUGGGAAAGAAAUCCAGCCGGCUAAUACCUGGUUGGGUAUGACGGUACCCAAAGAAUAAGCACCGGCUAACUUCGUGCCAG